AUACGGAGGGGGUUAGCGUUGUUCGGAAUUACUGGGCGUAAAGCGUACGUAGGCGGACUGGAAAGUUGGGGGUGAAAUCCCGGGGCUCAACCCCGGAACUGCCUCCAAAACUUCCAAUCUAGAGAUCGAGAGAGGUGAGUGGAAUUCCAAGUGUAGAGGUGAAAUUCGUAGAUAUGUGGAGGAACACCAGUGGCGAAGGCGGCUCACUGGCUCGAUACUGACGCUGAGGUACGAAAGCGUGGGGAGCAAACAGGAUUAGAAACCCGAGUAGUCC
rnacentral:rRNA from 1 species